rnacentral:rRNA from 1 species
UACGUAGGGUGCAAGCGUUAAUCGGAAUACUGGGCGUAAAGCGUGCGCAGGCGGUUGUGCAAGACAGAUGUGAAAUCCCCGGGCUUAACCUGGGAAUUGCAUUGGAGACUGCGAGGCUAGAAUCUGGCAGAGGGGGGUAGAAUUCCACGUGUAGCAGUGAAAUGCGUAGAGAUGUGGAGGAACACCGAUGGCGAAGGCAGCCCCCUGGGUCAAGAUUGACGCUCAUGCACGAA